UCUUCUCUCCUCUCCUCCCCUCUCUUCUUCUUCUUCCUUCUCCGGUGACCAGCCGGCGACCUCCCAAGCGGCUCCCCACCCGGCCAGCGACCCUCCGGCGACGGCCAUAACCACCAGAAACGGCGGCAAGAGAGGGAGAAGAGAGAGAAAACGAGCACACAGUGGGCAGCGGCUUUCCGGCACGAUUCCGGCUUCAUCCGACGUUCGAUCAAGGUGAUUCAGGUGGCGUUGGAAAGCUUGUUCCGAGAGCUUUCUUUUGAUACCAAUUUUGUAGCAAAUGGAGGUCGGAUGAGUGAGAUAUGGAGGAGAGAAGUUUCGGGUUUUCUAAGCUUUUUCGUCAGAUCUACGACGAUCCGACCGUUGGAUCGACGAUCCGAGACCACCUAUGGACUGAGGAAGAGGAGAAGAACAUGGUGGUAUGAUCAGAUCCGGCAAAUGUCGCCGGCGAUCGGCGGCCGGCCACCGUGCGCGGUGGUUCCGACGGUGGCUCCGGUGGGCUAUGGAGAUGAUUCAACUUCCAGAGGCUUCCUCAUAUAUUUUUGGAAUUUUUGAGACAUAGAUAAACUUCGGGUGAUCGAGGUCAGCUAUUUUUCUGCAUCCAGCAGCCACAAUAGUCAUCGGUGUACUAUGAGUAAAAUAUUAAUUUUAAUUGUAAUUUCACUAUUAUUAUAUAUUCAAGCAUGCCCAUGCAUCACUUAUAUGUAUAUAUUUAUCUAGUUAAACUCUAGGCAUGUUUUAUGUUGCAUUCACAACUGUUAAAGUGCCAUGUAUGUUGUUGUGGUAAUUUAGAGCAGUGUGCGUGCGUUGGCGUGCAUGUGAUGUGGUGUUGGCUAUGGAUAGGACGGGUAGUCACGGCUUGAGAUCUUCGCUGGGACCCGAUCCUUCGGGGGUAGUCACGGCUUGAGUUCUUCGCUGGGACCCCGAUUUGGUUUAUUAAGCGAAAGUCCGGCUUGAGUUCUUCGCUGGCACCAGGCCACAGGAGGAGUUAUUUUACAGAGCAACCUAUUUUCUUCCUCGCAGGUUUAACAUCGAUUAUUUAAUUGUUUUACUAUCUUUUCUAAAUUUAAAAAUCUAGAACUCCGCAUGUGUUAGUAAUAGUGUGGACCUUAUUAGAAAUUGUGUUAAUUUAAAUUUUUGAAAUUAAUAAAGGAA